AAAUCUGUACGCUUAACGUACAGGCUGCCGGGAAUACUGCAGAGCUAGGGAGUGGGAGAGGUAGACGGUACUCGGGAGGAAGUGGUAAAAUGCUUUGAUCUCUCGAUGACCACCUGUGGCGAAGGCGGUCUACCAGAACACGUCCGACGGUGAGGGAUGAAAGCUGGGGGAGCAAACCGGAUUAGAUACCCGGGUAGUCCCAGCUGUAAACUAUGCAAACUCAGUGAUGCAUUGGCUUGUGGCCAAUGCAGUGUUGCAGGGAAGCCGUUAAGUUUGCCGCCUGGGAAGUACGUACGCAAGUAUGAAACUUAAAGGAAUUGGCGGGGGAGCACCACAAGGGGUGAAGCCUGCGGUUCAAUUGGAGUCAACGCCAGAAAUCUUACCCGGAGAGACAGCAGAAUGAAGGUCAAGCUGAAGACUUUACCAGACAAGCUGAGAGGUGGUGCAUGGCCGCCGCCAGCUCGUGCCGUGAGAUGUCCUGUUAAGUCAGGUAACGAGCGAGAUCCCUGCCUCUAGUUGCCACCAUUACUCUCAGGAGUAGUGGGGCGAAUUAGCGGGACCGUCGCAGUUAAUGCGGAGGAAGGAAGGGGCCACGACAGGUCAGUAUGCCCCGAAACUCUGGGGCCACACGCGGGCUGCAAUGGUAAUGACAAUUGGUCCCGAAUCCGAAAGGAAGAGGUAAUCCUCAAACAUUACCACAGUUAUGACUGAGGGCUGCAACUCGCCCUCACGAAUAUGGAAUCCCUAGUAACUGCGUGUCAUUAUCGCGCGGUGAAUACGUCCCUGCUCCUUGCACACACCGCCCGU
rnacentral:rRNA from 1 species